rnacentral:rRNA from 1 species
UACGAAGGGGGCUAGCGUUGCUCGGAAUCACUGGGCGUAAAGGGCGCGUAGGCGGAUCUUUAAGUCGGGGGUGAAAGCCUGUGGCUCAACCACAGAAUUGCCUUCGAUACUGGGGAUCUCGAGACCGGAAGAGGUGAGUGGAACUGCGAGUGUAGAGGUGAAAUUCGUAGAUAUUCGCAAGAACACCAGUGGCGAAGGCGGCUCACUGGUCCGGAUCUGACGCUGAGGCGCGAAAGCGUGGGGAGCAAACAGG